AUGCUUCGCCUUCUUCACAUCCGGUUUCUCCACCACGUUACUGCUGCUCGUCUUAGAAUCCCAAGCACAGCCACAGCAAACACCCCUCCCCAUUUCCUCCCACGCCCAUUCCCCCAACCUUUCUCCCACAUAUCCCUCGCACCAAACGAUUCCUCAUCCCUGACCGUCCAUUUCCUCAAGAAGUCUUGCGGCCUCUCCUCCGAAGCCGCCCUCUCCGUGGCCACCAAAAUCCAUCUCAAGAACACCAAGAAUCCCCACUCUGUGCUCGCCCUCCUCAAGUACUUCGGCUUCUCCAAGCCCGACAUCGGCCGUCUCAUCACCCGUCGACCCGACCUCCUCCUCGCCCGCCCCGACAAAACCCUCCAGCCCAAGCUGGAGUUCUACCGGGGCAUCGGUCUCUCCGGCGCGGCCCUCGCCAAGCUCCUCUCUGGAAUUCCCCACCUGCUGCUCCGGAGCUUGGAGAAGCGACUGCUCCCAAACUUCCAUCUCCUCAAGUCCAUGCUCGACACAAACGAGAACGUCAUCUCAGCUGUGAGGAAUUCUCCUCGUUUGCUUGUCUCUGACCUCCCCAAGGUGUUGCUUCCUAAGAUCCACAGUUUGAUGAACUACGGCAUGCCGCCGGCUGUAAUCUUCACAUUGCUCACCACCCACCCGAAAUCUCUGAUAGAGAAGGCCAAUCGCUUUGAGGAGAUCUUUGAUGUGAUCAAGGAUCUGGGGAUUAGUCCUUCGAGUACCAUGUACGCCCAUGCCUUCGGUGUGCUCUCUAAAUUGCCCAAGACAACGGUGAAGAGGAGGUUGGAGAAUUAUUUGAGCUUAGGCUGGUCGGAGGAGCAAGUCUUUCGGGCGUUUGCCAAGCAUCCAUACUGCAUGUCGGCGUCGGAUGACAAGAUAAGGAAGAACAUGGAGUUCUUCGCAGCGAAGCUCAAAUGGGGGCCGGACUAUGUGUCCGCGAAUCCGGUGCUUCUGUCGCUCAGUUUCAAGAAGAGGAUUGUUCCAAGGUGUUUGGUUUUGGGAAUGCUAACGUCCAAGGGCCUGGUGAAGCAUGGUGUGAAAGCACGGCACUUGAUGAUGGCGGAGAAGAAGUUCCUUGAGGAUUAUGUGAUCAAGUACCAGGUUGAGGUCCCGGAAGUUGUUGAUGCUAUGGAAGGCAACGAGUUGGGACUGCUAGUCUUGGAGAUGGGAAACCUGGGAGUUGAUGGGAAUAAGCAUUUGGAUGCAGCUUAAAUGAUGCAGAUUUUGUUGGGUGUUUAAACAACAAAAGAUUCAUAUCCAAUUAUACUUUCCUUAUGGCUGGAGGUGUACUCAUGAAGAAGUGCUACAUUUAGAGACGUGCUUCUUUUAUUAAUUGCUUCAUGACGAGUAUGUAGCACUUGAGUGGGAUUCAGAAAGAAGAUAUCAUAUCUUGGAGAUCCCACGGCUUGAAUUGAGAUAUUGAAGAUCAAUCCAAAGCAUGCGUGCUGUUGAGAUACAUGUUGGAGGACUGCACCUAUUGCAACUUCAGACAAUGAUGAGUCAUUUGAUGAUGCCGAGGCCAUACACAUGGCCAAGGUCGACAUUUGGAAUCAUAAUACAUUAUCCGUAGCUGUAGAUAUCAAGCCUCGAAGGCAGCAGACAUCCAACCAUCACAUCCACCAUUUCAUAGCUCAACUGUUGGCAUGCCUAUUCAUAGCCCCACCAUGGUUGCCUAUGGCUCUUUCUGGAAGAGGUCAUAAGAGAUGUCCCUUGAUUUCCUUAUUGAUCCUUAGCCAUGUUGGACGGGGAUGAACUAUAUGUGUUGGUGUCUCGGUCAUUGUGCUAUCUCGAUCAUUGUGCUAUAAGGAGGCAUAGUCAUUAUAUUAAGAACUAUUUAUAAAAAGAUUAAUCAUACAAAAAAUUUUAAAUUAUUUGAAGAUUUUUAAUUUCAUCUUGAACUUCAAUAUAGUGCAAUCAUGUCAUCAAAUUUUUCAAUAAAUUUAAUUUGAAUCUUGGCAAUGAAUUUCAUUUGAUUGGCAUUACAGGAGCAUCACAUGGGGUCACAU